CCGGAAGCUGGACGGGAAUCAGGCACCGAGCGCCUUGUAUCCUGAUUAGCUGGCAAGUCUAUUCUUUCUCCCAUGGCACAGAAGACCCCAGAAGGGUUUUAAGUCAGGAGGUGACGUGACUGGAGGUGCAACACCAGCUGGCCACGGGAUGGAGGCAGGGUCCCUGGCCUUACACAGCGCUCACCCCAGGCCCUGCUGGCCCAGCACACAGCAGGUGAGGCUUGGGAAAACUCUUCCAGCCUUCUCUGAUCGGCCCACUUCCGCCCCUCUGGAGCCUGGGAGCCCUGCCCUCUGGAAUAACCCAGCUCCACGUCUCCUAGAGCCGGACCUUGCCUAGUCAGAGCACUGCGGUGGCAACAACCCACUGAGGCACUGAAUUAAACAAAAAAGGGUUGAGGUUAUGAAAGGAGAGGUUCCAGCUAGAGUUCAAGAAAGUUUUCCAGACCUGCCUGCAGAGAAUUAAACGCAGACACUGUGAAGUGCCCGUCCCAUCCUUCAAGAACCAGCUCAGAUGCCUCCUCUCUGGGAAGCCUUUCCUGCGCCCCCAAGGCUGUUGGUCACUGGAGAGCCCUGAGAGCAGGCAUUAUACUGCAUCCCAUUUGUAUAUUUUGUAUCCCUUUCUAUCUCAUAAAUGGGGCAGGAAUUCAAUCAAGACCUGAGUCAAUUAUUUUAUUUAUACUGAGAACUUCUGUGGCAGUCUCUGUGCUAGGGGAAUACGGAGGACACAGGACACAAUGCACAGUCCAGUUCAGGGAGAACCAAUGAAUGGAGUUGGUACAAUGCUAGCGUUGGGGUUUGAGAGUGAUACUUACACCCCCUCCCCAAGUUCAGGCCAGCUGAGAGGUAUGCACACAGGCCCAUCAGGCAGGAGGAGGGAGAGCCAAGUCAGCUUUAUUGGUAGCUGCUGGUAUUUGGACCUAAGCUCAAAAAAAUUUGCCCUCUCAUGUCUAGAUCUUGAGAAGACCCACCCAAGGGACAGUCUGGAUCUGCAGGACAGACAUACCUACCCAGUCUUUGGGCCAACCCUGAGAAUGGGGUCAGCGAGGUAGUUCUCCAGAUUUGCCUCUAGAAAUCUGAGUGGAG
rnacentral:lncRNA from 1 species